rnacentral:rRNA from 1 species
GUUUGAUCAUGGCUCAGAACGAACGCUGGCGGCAGGCCUAACACAUGCAAGUCGAGCGCUGUAGCAAUACAGAGCGGCGCACGGGUGAGUAACACGUGGGAACGUGCCCUUUGGUUCGGAAUAACUCAGGGAAACUUGAGCUAAUACCGGAUGAGCCCUGACGGGGAAAGAUUUAUCGCCGAAGGAGCGGCCCGCGUCGGAUUAGCUAGUUGGUGGGGUAAAAGCCUACCAAGGCAACGAUCCGUAGCUGGUUUGAGAGAACGACCAGCCACACUGGGACUGAGACACGGCCCAGACUCCUACGGGAGGCAGCAGUGGGGAAUCUUGGACAAUGGGGGAAACCCUGAUCCAGCCAUGCCGCGUGAGUGAUGAAGGCCCUAGGGUUGUUAAACUCUUUCGGCGGGGACGAUAAUGACGGUACCCGCAGAAGAAGCUCCGGCUAACUUCGUGCCAGCAGCCGCGGUAAUACGAAGGGGGCUAGCGUUGUUCGGAAUUACUGGGCGUAAAGCGCGCGCAGGCGGUUCUUCCAGUCAGAGGUGAAAGCCCAGANCUCAACUCUGGAAUGGCCUUUGAGACUAGAGAACUUAGG